AAGUAGAAUGAUUGAAUUUUCUUUUGUUUUGUCCUAAAGGUUGCUUUGAAAGUACCUGUGGUAGUUCGUCUUGAAGGCACCAAUGUUGAGCAAGGGAAGAGAAUUCUCAAGGAAAGUGAUAUGACACUGAUAACAGCAGAAGAUCUGGAUGAUGCUGCAGAGAAAGCAGUUAAAGCAUCUGCCAGUUGAGGACCGAUACAUGCGCCUGUUCUAGUUUUCUCGCAUUUUAAGAACUAUUUACAAUUUUUUAUCAAACAAAUCCAUUUUAUCUUGUUAAUAAUGAAAGCAUAGAUGAGGUGUGAUUUUUUAGCUGACUUUUGAGGUUGACUUUCGCAGUUAAGAAAUCUGCAGUAUCUCACCUGAUGUUUUAAGUGUGGUUGACUGCAACCACUUCUGUUAUAAAGUAAUUUCAUCUCAAGGAGUUUAGAGCUUGUUGGAUCACAAACGAGAAGCAAACAUUAUUUUUGGGAGAGGCAGAAGGAAGCUAUGGUAUCCUUGCCUAGAGAUUCUUCUUUUUCAUUAUCUCUGCAAUCUUCUUGGAAAUGCAAUAAGCUGUGGAUUGGAUGGUGAUCAUGGGAUUGAUACCCAAU